rnacentral:rRNA from 1 species
ACCGGCGCACGGGUGCGUAACGCGUAUAGAACCUACCUUCUACUGGGGGAUAGCCCAGAGAAAUUUGGAUUAAUACCCCAUGGUAUUGAUAUCUGGCAUCGGAUAUUGAUUAAAGGUUACGGUAGAAGAUGGCUAUGCGUCCUAUUAGUUAGUUGGUAAGGUAACGGCUUACCAAGACAUCGAUAGGUAGGGGCCCUGAGAGGGGGAUCCCCCACACUGGUACUGAGACACGGACCAGACUCCUACGGGAGGCAGCAGUGAGGAAUAUUGGACAAUGGGCGGAAGCCUGAUCCAGCCAUGCCGCGUGCAGGAGGACAGCCCUAUGGGUUGUAAACUGCUUUUAUACAGGAAGAAUAAGGGGUAUGUAUACUCCGAUGACGGUACUGUAAGAAUAAGGACCGGCUAACUCCGUGCCAGCAGCCGCGGUAAUACGGAGGGUCCGAGCGUUAUCCGGAAUCAUUGGGUUUAAAGGGUCCGCAGGCGGGCAAUUAAGUCAGGGGUGAAAUGGUGCGGCUCAACCGUAGCACUGCCCUUGAUACUGGUUGUCUUGAGUUAUGGUGGAGUGGCCGGAAUAUGUAGUGUAGCGGUGAAAUGCAUAGAUAUUACAUAGAACACCGAUCGCGAAGGCAGGUCACUAACCAUCGACUGA